GUGGGGAAUCUUGCGCAAUGGGCGAAAGCCUGACGCAGCCAUGCCGCGUGAAUGAUGAAGGUCUUAGGAUUGUAAAAUUCUUUCACCGGGGACGAUAAUGACGGUACCCGGAGAAGAAGCUCCGGCUAACUUCGUGCCAGCAGCCGCGGUAAUACGAAGGGGGCUAGCGUUGCUCGGAAUUACUGGGCGUAAAGGGCGCGUAGGCGGACAGCUUAGUCAGAGGUGAAAGCCCAGGGCUCAACCUUGGAAUUGCCUUUUAUACUGGCUGUCUUGAGUACGGGAGAGGUGAGUGGAACUCCGAGUGUAGAGGUGAAAUUCGUAGAUAUUCGGAAGAACACCAGUGGCGAAGGCGACUCACUGGCCCGUUACUGACGCUGAGGCGCGAAAGCGUGGGGAGCAAACAGGAUUAGAAACCCGGGUAGUCC
rnacentral:rRNA from 1 species